GACGAACGCUGGCGGCGUGCUUAACACAUGCAAGUCGAGCGGAAAGGCCCUUCGGGGUCCUCGAGCGGCGAACGGGUGAGUAACACGUGAGUAACCUGCCCCAGACUUUGGGAUAACCCUCGGAAACGGGGGCUAAUACCGGAUACGACACAGCUUCGCAUGGGGUCUGUGUGGAAAGUUUUUCGGUUUGGGAUGGGCUCGCGGCCUAUCAGCUUGUUGGUGGGGUGAUGGCCUACCAAGGCGACGACGGGUAGCCGGCCUGAGAGGGCGACCGGCCACACUGGGACUGAGACACGGCCCAGACUCCUACGGGAGGCAGCAGUGGGGAAUAUUGCACAAUGGGCGGAAGCCUGAUGCAGCGACGCCGCGUGAGGGAUGACGGCCUUCGGGUGGUAAACCUCUUUCAGCAGGGACGAAGCGUAAGUGACGGUACCUGCAGAAGAAGCGCCGGCCAACUACGU
rnacentral:rRNA from 1 species